rnacentral:lncRNA from 1 species
GGGAUCUCCACCCCCUCUCCAGCUCCAUUUAGCUCUGAGUGUUUUAGGUCAUUCUAUGCCUGGCAUUCUGCCAAGGCUUUGACAAAGACAGGAGUUUCUGCUCAUUCAUCCUAAUGCAAGUUCCUGCGUUUAUGAUAAUAGGGCAAAAAUGCAUGAAAGGGCUUGCUGCCUGCAGAGGGGAAAUCAGCUUAGAAUUGAAAAUCGGAGUCCUUCCUUGGCCCAGCUUUCCCCUCCCUGAGCUUUGGGGUGAAUGGGUUUCAGGGUGGCUGAGGAAGCCUGCCAAAAAGGCCAAGUGAAAAGCCCGGCCCCGGGAGGCGCUGCGAGCGGUUUCCAUGGCGACACCAGCUGGAUCUGGUGGUCCCCAUGUGACCUUUUUUCACUUAAGAGAUGAGUGACGCAAGCUCAGGGCUGUGGGCUGGGGGCUGGCAGAGCUGGGCGGGAGAAACCUGAAUCUACUCUGCAGGAAGGGCUGUUCCCAAGCUCAUCUGCUGGCUCUCCUGAAACCUCUCCAGAGCCAGGCCCAUGGAGCAGGCACUUGGUCCAGAUGAGAAGCAGCAAAUAACCAUGGGCCCUCAGUGACCCCGAGGGGUGUGCGGGCCCAUCACAGACCCUCUUCUUCACCCUCCU